UACGGAGGGAGCUAGCGUUGUUCGGAAUUACUGGGCGUAAAGCGCACGUAGGCGGCUUUGUAAGUUAGAGGUGAAAGCCUGGGGCUCAACUCCAGAACUGCCUUUAAAACUGCAUCGCUUGAAUCCAGGAGAGGUGAGUGGAAUUCCGAGUGUAGAGGUGAAAUUCGUAGAUAUUCGGAAGAACACCAGUGGCGAAGGCGGCUCACUGGACUGGUAUUGACGCUGAGGUGCGAAAGCGUGGGGAGCAAACGGG
rnacentral:rRNA from 1 species